CUCGGGGGACGCCCGCACAAAAUGGCGGCCGCUAGCUGGCGGUCACGUGCGCAUCGCGGUAGGGCGGGUAGCGCUAGGUGGGGGUCGUGCUGCGCCCGGGUAUUUGUGUCGUGAGUUUACCUACGUUUGUUCUCCCGGGUAACAGCGAUAGGAUGAGAGGUAACGGCCUCAAGUUGCACCGGGUUCAGGUUGCGUAUGAGGAGAAAUUUCUUCUCAGGAAGAGUGAUGAUGUCUUGUAAGUUACAGUAGCUAAAUAGAACGUGAGGCUUGUGGGUGGGGGUCUCUGUGGUAAUCUUGUGUGUUUCUGCUGGCAGUGGGUCGGUGCAGCUGCGUGCCAGAACUAAAUCCCCACCCUUGGGGUUUUCCCAGGGAGUGCUCUGCCACACAGGCUUCGUGUUGUCACUGGAAUAAAAAUAGAGUUCCCUCUUGGUUCUGUUGAGCAGCAGUUUAAGGUUUAUUGAUGCCAUGAGGUAAAUAAAAGGGUUGGAUUUUAACAAAACUUUGUCAUUAGCCGCUUUGAAGAUUAAUAAAGCAAGUUAGUGAAAUAUGUGGUAACUAAAUGAUGACUUGAUUACAGAUUUGUGGAUGACAAGGUUCACACUAAACAACAGGGUGUCUUAAAUUGAUGUGCAUGUACAGAUGCAAAGCACACUCUUACAGAUGUACUGAAAUAUGUGGCUCCUGUGAGAUAUCUCAGCACCCGUGCUUGUGAAACGUGUCUCAUUAAAGCAUAUAUAAGAAAUGAGGUGGCUGGGAGAAGAAUGAGCUUAGCUUAUAGUUAAAACUUCCUUCUACUCAAAUUUAGAGCAGAUUCUUGCAAUAUACUGUUAUUCUUCUACCAGCACUAAUUGAGGCUGGCUACAAUAGGAUGUCUGGCAUCCAUCCAUGGAUGGCCUUGAGGAUCUGGAGGACCUGAGAGGUGCCCCAACCUGGGGGAGAUGCUGGUCACAGCUUGUUGUGAUCCAGAAGAGUUCUAAGGGUUUCUCUUACCUUGGGAGCAUAAAUAGUUAUUUUAUUUGACUUUUGUCAGGUACUUUUCCAUACCAGCCCCCUUGGAUGGCAAAAAAUAUUCUGGUACUUCUGACCAGUUAUGCAAUGCCCAGAGCUUGCUGGAUUCAUGAAUUCUGUGCUACCUGCCUUAGCCUGUGAUCCAGAUACAGAUGUACUGGGCUGUCAGGAGAUAAUCCAUCCCAGGUGAUGAGAGGAAAAGCAAAUACAUGGAUAUGAUAAAGGGAUGCCUUUAUGCUCUAAUCUGCUGCUUAUUGCAAUUUACAGGAUAGCAGGGGCCAGGCACAAGGAAUGUCUUCAGGUGCUGGUCCUUUACCUUUCACCAUUUAUGCCAAGAUUGGCUUGUUGCCUAAGGAAAGGGAUUACACCAAGCAUGGAGGGGCCUAAUAUAAAGGUGGGGGGCAGUUGAACCACCCCACUCAGGAAAUAUGCUCAGUUAAUGCCAAUCAUUAAAGGAAGCGGAAGCUAUGACUUUACAUUACUGUUGUUCACUCCUCUCCUUUUCUCCUAUGGUUGAUAACGUUUGUGACCAUAAUUGAAUUACAAGUGUCUUGGGAAAUUUUUUUGAAGAUUCCCAGCAUACUGCAAGUCUGCCUCCUGUGCAAGGAGGACAUAAUAGUAGUGGAGGUAAUUAAUGCUGAACUUCUUCCAGUUGAGAAUCCUAAGCAGAAGGUAUCAUUACACUUGAGGAGGCACAAGGUUGUGCUUCCUGGUAACCACAGAGCUGAUGUAUAUUUGGAGAUCUCUCCUCUGUUUGGAUGACACAGUGUAAAACUAGUUACUUACUAUAAGGAGCAUACCAUUAUCUCAGACACGUUCUGAUUCUUCAUUGAAAGAAAUAGCAUGCUUUCUUGCCUCGGUGUUGAAUAUCUGUGUUAAGCACUCAUUUACAUUAACUGAAACAGUAAAAAAAGCUUAAAAGAAAGGAAAACUUAUUCAUUUGGUUUUGGACAUCUUUUUCACACUUGCUUUCUUUACAUCAGUUUCCAAAAAAAAAAGAAGCUUUGAACUUUGGUUUCAAAACAGUCAAAGGUAAAUAAAUAAACAACCAAGAAACCCAGUAAAUUAUUGUUUUUGUUUUUAUUGGGCUUUAUACAGUGUUACACAUACAAUAUUUAAUAAUCUUUGCAUAAUUUAAAAACAUUAAAAUAUUUGUUAACUUUUUUUUUUUACAUUUUAUCCAGAGGAGCUCUAAAGAGAGGGGCCCGGUGAUUUACAGUGUUAGAUUUACACACUGUUUGGAACUUGAAGGAAUCCAGAUGCCACAAACUGGUCAGGAAUUUCACUAGAGUUCACUGCAUGUUAGCAAGUAAACUGCUUAAGAGAAGAAUGGAGAGAAGGAAGAAAGCAAACAGCAUGUUCACUAUGGUGUUAAAAACAAGUUCAAAUGAGAAAAAUGCAUUGAUUGGAGGGUCCAGGCAAAGUAACCCAUUCCUGAAAGAUUUUGGUCUGAACCAAGUAAUCAACUCAACCUAUGUCAUGGAAUUUGAGGGUGGUUCAGCUGUUAUGGAAGCCCUGGCUGCAAGCACAGAAAAAGCAUCCAAAUAGACAAUUGCUUUCAGAGAUUUUACAUCUUUAAUCACAAGGUUGGUGUUUCUGGAUUUAAGGCUUGUCUAGGCUGGCUUCUGUUUCAGUUCAGUAUUUACUUUUAGCUGGGUAGUAGAAUAGGCAUGGAGCCUACGCUCCUUCUCUGACACCAAGUCCUGGAAAGGUUAAUAAUGUGUUAAAUAAUCUGUUAUAAAAUAAACUCAUAAGAAAAAGUGGGAGGACAGUCUCUAUUUGCCAAAUUAUUUUUCUUCACUGUAGAUAUUUCAAUCUAGAUGGUUGGAAAAACUCUGACUAAUGGACAGUUAAUAAAAUCUGGUCUGUGUUGGCCUGUGGGGAGGGUUAUUAAACCUGACUUGUUUGUUUGAAUGCUGUGGUUAUUUGAUAUAUGUCAGGUGUAUUUCUAUAGAGCACAAGGUACUUGUAAGCAGUACACCCACAGGCCUAUAUUCCACGUGGCAUAUAUUUUAAACAAGUCAAAUACAUAGCAGUAAAUGUCACAGCAGUAUUCAGGAAGGUGAAAUAGCUGAAAGGAAGCAUAAAAAGGAGGCAUGUUUAGAUUCUGGUUUUGCUCCUACUUAAAUGUGCUUAGGCAGAGCAGGCACCAGUGAUUUCAGAUUAGCUGGGGUGGAUUAGUAUUCUCAGAGGCAUCUGAAAGCUGAUCAUCUUUCAGCCCAAGUGGAAAAGUUCAAGAGAGAGAGCGUGGUCCUUUCUCCUGGUGUCUGAGGACUUCUUUGGUGUCUUACAAAGUUGGAGAGCUUUUAUUAUUAUUAUUAUUAUUUAUUUUUUCAUUUGGAAUUUAAGUAAGACGUUUGAACCAUGAACUCUGAAAGCUUCACUUGUGUGCAGCUCGUGCUUCAGUCUCUCGUGUCUCUAUCUGCUGUCUUGAGAAUUUGCUUAUUUCAUUUUUUGAAGGGGAGCUUCCUUGGGUGCAGAGGACAUAAACUAAUUAUCAAGGCCUCUACAGAAAAGUUUAUUCUGGGAACCUCUGAGUGGCCUUUGGGAGGAAGCACAGCCUGACCAAAGGCACCUCGCUAGUACAGAUCAGUAGUUUGCUUGGACAUGAAAAGGCAGCCUUGCAACUCUGACACUUUAAGG
ensembl:lncRNA